GAACGCUAAUACCGCAUGAUAUAUUUGAAUCGCAUGAUUUGAAUAUCAAAGGAGCAAUCCGCUGAAAGAUGGGCUCGCGUCCGAUUAGGUAGUUGGUGGGGUAACGGCCUACCAAGCCGACGAUCGGUAGCCGGACUGAGAGGUUGAACGGCCACAUUGGGACUGAGAUACGGCCCAGACUCCUACGGGAGGCAGCAGUCGGGAAUAUUGCGCAAUGGAGGAAACUCUGACGCAGUGACGCCGCGUGCAGGAAGAAGGUUUUCGGAUUGUAAACUGCUUUAGACAGGGAAGAGACAAGACAGUACCUGUAGAAUAAGCUCCGGCUAACUACGUG
rnacentral:rRNA from 1 species